rnacentral:rRNA from 1 species
AUUGAACGCUGGCGGCAUGCUUUACACAUGCAAGUCGGACGGCAGCACAGAGAAGCUUGCUUCUUGGGUGGCGAGUGGCGAACGGGUGAGUAAUAUAUCGGAACGUACCGAGUAAUGGGGAUAACUAAUCGAAAGAUUAGCUAAUACCGCAUAUUCUCUGGGGAGGAAAGCAGGGGAACUUCGGGCCUUGCGGUAUUCGAGCGGCCGAUAUCUGAUUAGCUAGUUGGUGGGGUAAAGGCCUACCAAGGCGACGAUCAGUAGCGGGUCUGAGAGGAUGAUCCGCCACACUGGGACUGAGACACGGCCCAGACUCCUACGGGAGGCAGCAGUGGGGAAUUUUGGACAAUGGGCGCAAGCCUGAUCCAGCCAUGCCGCGUGUCUGAAGAAGGCCUUCGGGUUGUAAAGGACUUUUGUCAGGGAAGAAAAGGCUGUUGCUAAUAUCGACAGCUGAUGACGGUACCUGAAGAAUAAGCACCGGCUAACUACGUG